GAGCCGGUGGGCGAGCUGGACGAGCGCCUCGACGAUGAUCUCGUCGGCGGGACUGGGCUGCCCGGCGUCCUCGACGUCGUCGGCCCC
rnacentral:tRNA from 1 species